AUUAUGGAGAGUUUGAUCCUGGCUCAGGACGAACGCUGGCGGCGUGCCUAAUACAUGCAAGUCGUACGAAUCUAGAAGUUAGCUUGCUAACUUCUAGGUUAGUGGCGGACGGGUGAGUAACACGUAGGCAACCUGCCCCUAAGAUCGGGAUAACAUUCGGAAACGAAUGCUAAGACCGGAUACAUAAGUUGA
rnacentral:rRNA from 1 species